UACGGGGGGGGCAAGCGUUGUUCGGAAUUACUGGGCGUAAAGGGCUCGUAGGCGGCCAACUAAGUCAGACGUGAAAUCCCUCGGCUUAACCGGAGAACUGCGUCUGAUACUGGAUGGCUUGAGUGUGGGAGAGGGAUGCGGAAUUCCAGGUGUAGCGGUGAAAUGCGUAGAUAUCUGGAGGAACACCGGUGGCGAAGGCGGCAUCCUGGACCAUUACUGACGCUGAUGAGCGAAAGCCAGGGGAGCAAACGGG
rnacentral:rRNA from 1 species